UACGUAGGGCGCAAGCGUUGUCCGGAAUUAUUGGGCGUAAAGAGCUCGUAGGCGGUUUGUCGCGUCUGCUGUGAAAACCUAAGGCUCAACCUUGGGCUUGCAGUGGGUACGGGCAGACUAGAGUGCGGUAGGGGUGACUGGAAUUCCUGGUGUAGCGGUGGAAUGCGCAGAUAUCAGGAGGAACACCGAUGGCGAAGGCAGGUCACUGGGCCGCAACUGACGCUGAGGCGCGAAAGCAUGGGGAGCGAACAGG
rnacentral:rRNA from 1 species